rnacentral:rRNA from 1 species
AAACUUUCAACAACGGAUCUCUUGGUUCUGGCAACGAUGAAGAACGCAGCGAAAUGCGAUAAUUAAUGUGAAUUGCAGAAUUCAGUGAAUCAUCGAAUCUUUGAACGCACAUUGCGCCUCUGGUAUUCCGGAGCACGCCUGUCGAGCGCAUU